GGAGAGGUGGCUCAGCGGUUAAGAGCACUGGCUGCUCUUCCAGAGGUCCUGAGUUCAAUUCUCAGCAACCACA
rnacentral:tRNA from 1 species